rnacentral:rRNA from 1 species
GCUGAGCACUCCUACGGGAGGCAGCAGUGGGGAAUAUUGCACAAUGGGCGCAAGCCUGAUGCAGCCAUGCCGCGUGUGUGAAGAAGGCCUUCGGGUUGUAAAGCACUUUCAGUCGUGAGGAAGGUAGUAGUGUUAAUAGCACUAUCAUUUGACGUUAGCGACAGAAGAAGCACCGGCUAACUCCGUGCCAGCAGCCGCGGUAAUACGGAGGGUGCGAGCGUUAAUCGGAAUUACUGGGCGUAAAGCGCAUGCAGGUGGUUUGUUAAGUCAGAUGUGAAAGCCCCGGGGCUCAACCUCGGAAUAGCAUUUGAAACUGGCAGACUAGAGUACUGUAGAGGGGGUAGAAUUUCAGGUGUAGCGGUGAAAUGCGUAGAGAUCUGAAGGAAUACCGGUGGCGAAGGCGGCCCCCUGGACAGAUACUGACACUCAGAUGCGAAAGCGUGGGGAGCAAACAGGAUUAGAUACCCUGGUAG